rnacentral:tRNA from 1 species
AGAAUUGUAGUUAAAUAUAACAUCUGGGUUGCAUUCAGAAAGUACUAAAUUUUAAGUCUA